rnacentral:rRNA from 1 species
UACGUAGGGGGCAAGCGUUGUCCGGAAUUAUUGGGCGUAAAGAGCUCGUAGGCGGUUUGUCGCGUCUGCUGUGAAAACCCGAGGCUCAACCUCGGGCCUGCAGUGGGUACGGGCAAACUAGAGUGCGGUAGGGGAGAAUGGAAUUCCUGGUGUAGCGGUGGAAUGCGCAGAUAUCAGGAGGAACACCGAUGGCGAAAGCAGGUACCUGGACCAUUACUGACACCCAGGUGCGAAAGCUAGGGGAGCAAACAGG